AUUGAACGCUGGCGGCAGGCCUAACACAUGCAAGUCGAGCGGAGCGGCGGACGGGUGAGUAAUGCCUAGGAAUCUGCCUUGUACUGGGGGAUAACGUCCGGAAACGGGCGCUAAUACCGCAUACUAUCAGAUGAGCCUAGGCCGGAGUAGCUAGUUGGUGGGGUAAAGGCCUACCAAGGCGACGAUCCGUAACUGGUCUGAGAGGAUGAUCGGUCACAUGUAACUUGAGACACGGUCAAGAAUCCAACGGAAGGCAGCAGUGGGGAAUAUUGGGCAAUGGGCGAAAGCCUGAACCAGCCAUGCCGCGUAUAUGAAGAAGGCCUUAGGGUUGUAAAGUACUUUCAGCGGGAAUGCGUUACCCGCAGAAGAAGCACCGGCUAACUCCGUGCCAGCAGCCGCGGUAAUUC
rnacentral:rRNA from 1 species